rnacentral:rRNA from 1 species
AAUAUUGGACAAUGGGCGAAAGCCUGAUCCAGCAAUGCCGCGUGAGUGAUGAAGGCCUUAGGGUUGUAAAGCUCUUUUACCCGGGAAGAUAAUGACGGUACCGGGAGAAUAAGCCCCGGCUAACUCCCUGCCAACAGCCCCGGUAAUACGGAGGGG